UCAGUUUUAAUUCAAACGGAUAAGUAAAUAGAAUUCACAACUUAUGAACCACAACUGGAUGUAAUCAAAUCAUAUUGCAAGUCUGAACAUGGUUUCGAAUUCCCCCUAGCUAAAUAGGGGUUUAGCUACUCAUAAUUGCAACAAAAUCAGAAAAUAACAAAGUAGACAUUGAAAGCAAGAACGAAGUACACCUAAAACGCUCCAAAGUUCAAGCUUGAAAACCCAAGGACCUUUGUUUUCACCACCUUGUUGCAGUACAAGUAUCUAAGGAUGUGUAUGGAUAUAUGGAAAGGUUACGAAUGUAUUUAGGUUGGAUGGAUGCCACGACAAGGGGAAGGGAAUGUAUGGAAUUGUGUUUGAUUUUUGGUUGGAUGAGUGCCAUGGCAAGGGAAUGGAAUUGUAUGUGUUUGUGGGAUGUGGGAAUAUAUGGAUGAAUGUAAGGUCUUUUUAAUGGAUCCUAGUUAUGGUGAAGGGUGGAUGUAUUUAUAGGCUAGGGAGAGGAGUGUAUGGAGUUGUAAUGAGUGAAUGUAAUGGGUGUAGUGGGUGAGUGUUGUGGUAAUGAGUGGAUGUAAUGGGUGUAGUGGAUGUAAUGGGUGUAGUGGAUGGAUGGUGUGGUAAUGAGUGGAUGUAAUGGGUGUAGUGGGUGAGUGUUGUGGUAAUGAGUGGAUGUAGUGGUUGGUGAAUGUGUUGGGUGAAAUGAGUGGAUGUAGUGGUAGGUGAAUGGAUGUGUUGGGUGAAAUGAGUGUGCUAAAAUGGUUAUUUAUAGAGAGAGGAUGAUGCACAAACUUCAAAUUUCGUUCAUUCCUUUUGCUCAAAGCAUAUGCUAUCCAUUCCAUGCCCAAAAAUGCUCCAAAAUGCUCCAAAAUGCACUUCUUUGCCACAUUAACCCUUUGGACCUACAAACACACGAAAAUAGCUUAAAAUACUAAAAUAACUACGAACUAACAACAUAAAUGCCAAUAAACAAGCUAACUAAGUCGCAUAAAUAUGCUCCUAUCAAAUUCCCCCACACUUAGCUUUUGCUAGUCCUCGAGCAAAACAAAACAAACAAAACAAAACAAAACAAAACACAACCUAGACCUUCCAACAAUUGCCUCAGGGAUUUUUAAUGAAACAUGACAUGUUAAAAAUCAUCAUUCCCACAGAUUUUGGUCAACUUUACACUUGAGCACAUACUUAAUCAUAGUCACCACUUACUAGUUCACAAUUAACCAAUUAAAACGAUGUUUUGAAUGUAGUAACAUGCCUUAGAGAAUUUGCUCAAUUCCUUACAAGAUACUCUCUAUUUUCACACACACUUUCUGACUACACACCUUACACUAGUAUAUGUGAGAAGAUUGAUGUAAACACGAAAGACUAGGACUCACAUAUGUUAUAACAAAGAAAGCAAUUUUCUGGAGUUAUUAAGCAUGUUUAGAUAUGAUCUCAUGAAUGGAAUGCUACUACUUAGAUGCGAGAACCAGUGACACCAUAUGCUCAUACCAAUUUCGAACUCCACAAAUUGAAACACACAACACUCAAGAUUGAAGUCAAGGGUUGUAACAGGGCUUGGGGGUAAUGGCUAACAAAGAAAGGAUAGGGAUAACAAACGUUCUUAAAACGAUAGCAAGCAAAGCAAUGAAAUAGACACUUAGAAAUCACUUUAGAAUGCAAAAUCAACUUUUAAUUUCAAAGGGAAGAUUUAUGCAACACUUAGGGUCAAAUUCAAUGUUUUGAACCCUUUCUUUAACAAACAACACUUUACAGCUCUUUUUCAUACUUUUUUUUUUCAAUUCUUUUUUUUUUCUUUUCUACCCGUGCCUUAUUAAGGACUUUGGCACACACACACACACAAGAAUCACUUUCCCCACACUUGCUUUACUAUGCUUCAAGAAUAAGGGUAUGGAUGGUCCUAAAACUAGGCUAGGUAAGGAUAGUGUUGGUUAACAAAGAAAAUAGGCUUAACAAGGCUCAAUGGGGUUAAACUUAAACACAUAAUGAAAUAGGGGCACGACAAUUUGGCUUUGGUGGUCACUACAUAACUUCAUCUUGAAUAUGUGUUAUGCAAAUCAAUAGCAUGCUUUGAAUGAAAUAGGCAUGAGUUCUAGCAUUUGGAACUAAAUGAUGAAACGCCUUCUAGGUAGCAACCAGGCAAAGAAAAAUGAGAUCAUGCAACGACUUCAAGCAUGUUACAAAAACUGAUUUUUCCUUUAUGAUUGCAUGUGAAUUCAUAAUUUAUAACCACAACCAAGCAUAUAUCAAAGAGUAAAUCAAAUUCAUCCAUGUUUAUAACUCUCUUUAAUAGUCAUGUAAUUAAAAACCAAAUCCUCAUCAUUGUGUUGGAAGGUACCCUAAGACACAAACAAACACACAAAAACAACUCUUUUUGGGUUUUUCAAAAUAAUUUUUCAAAUUUUUAUGAGAUUUUCGGAUUUUUAUGUCAAAACACACUAAAACACUCCAAAACAGCAUUAAAACACUUAAAAACAGCAAGGAAGAACACUAGAAGUAAUGGGUGACAAACUCCCACGAAUUUCAUGCAAAACAACUUGGUUACCCCCCCACACUUAAAUCAAACAUUGUCCUCAAUGUUUCAGGCAAAAACUCACACAAAAACAAGCAAACAAAUAAACAACGAAUAAACAUGACAAGUAUGGCAAAGUAAAAACCAGACAGAGUAGAGUUUAAGAACGCAAAUCUGGUUAUGGAGAGAUGAUCUUGUUGAUUUUCCACAGCUUUGAUCUCGAACUGGUUUGGAAUUCUGAGCAAGGAAUAUGAGAGUUCCAUGGUUUCAAAUCAGACUCUUUCUGCUGGGUUGAUUUGAUUAUGCAGUCUGCAUUCUUCUCUGCUUGUUUCUUCUGCACGGCAGGCAGACACUAGGUAGAGGUGAUGGUCUGUUUCUUUUUUCAAUCUUUCCAAGUGCCCACCAUUUGCUUUCUUUCUCCUUGUCCAUAGCUGAGGAUGAAUUAGCACAUUGUCUCCACAUGCUUCGAGGUAUCAUUUUCACUUCCCUUAUCUGUUCCCCAGGCAGAUAUGGUAGACGAAGAAGAAGCAUAAGAUGUUGAAGAUGAGUACUCGAGAGCAAGGGUAGGUAAGCAAUCAGGAAGGGGUUCCAGGCAGUUGAUUCCAGAUCAGAAGAUUGAUACCAAGUGCUGGCUGAUUGCUCUUUUUCUUCUUAUCCCGCAGAUGAAAACAACGACAAGGAGAAUGACAGGGAGAAAGCAUGAUAUGAGAUACUCUUGCUUUCAACUUUCAUGAUAUGAAAUACUUUUGCUUUGGAUGAGUUGUUUGCAGAGGUACCCCAAGGAAUAAGGAACACUGAGUGACUCGAGAGGCUUCGUUAGGAAGGCAUUCUCGGAGAUGAAGAAAGGUUAUGUAUGUUUGCCUUGCAAUGGAGGGUGAAGGUUGACAUUUAUAGGAAUUAAUAACCGGUACUAUUCUUUCACUCUUGUCGGCAACCGUUGGAUGAUUUAACAGUAACUUCACGUGCUUUCUACUUCACAAGAAAUCUUCGACAGAUUGCCCGUAAUUUCCGUAAGGCUGAGUGUGCAUGUGACAGAUGCUGACACGCUUGGAAAAGCAAGUGCCUCUUUGAUAUCUGGAAUCGGCACUUUGACAAACUGCCCGUGAUUUCCGCAAAGCUGAGUGUGCAUGUGACAGAUGCUGACACGUCUGGAAAAGCUGACACGUCUGGCAAAGUUGAGUGGGCAUCUUCAAGUUCUGAGCUUCGUCGAGUGCAGAGGUUGCAUGUGACAAGUACGGACAAAUCUAGAAAAGAAGUUUGGCCCGUGGUUUCUGAGCAAGCCCAGCUUUUGAGAAAGCUAGCGCCUCUUCGAUUUUUGAAUUGGCCUAUUCGAUUUCUGAGCUCGCCUCUUCGAUCUCUGAAAUCCCGUUGAGUGCUGAUUUUUAUAGAGGCACGCAGUACGUUUUAAAGCAUACUUGAAUUUCUGCCUGUAAAAACCCCCUUCUUGCACUUCUAAGAUCUUGACUUGUCCGACCUCUUCUUUCUUCAACACCUUUGAAAAUGUCUGGCCCCUCCGACCAUCACUUUGACUUGAACCUUGGUGAAGAGGCAGCCAUGCCUUCUCCAGACAACAUAUGGCGCCCAUCCUUCAUAUCCCCUACUAGUCCUCUUACCGUUGGGGAUUCGGUAAUGAAGAAUGAUAUGACCGCUGCAGUGGUGGCCUGGAACCUUGUCACUCCCAAAGAUAACAGACUACUUUCCAAACGGUUUGAUGAGUUGGCUGUUAAGGAUUCUCUAGCUCUCAGUGUGCAGUGUGCAGGUUCUGUGUCUAAUAUGGCCCAACACCUAUUUGCUCGAACCCGUCAAGUUGAAUCAUUGGCGGCUGAAGUGAUGAGUCUCAAACAGGAUAUUAGAGGGCUCAAGCAUGAGAAUAAACAGUUGCACAAUCUCGCACAUAACUAUGCUACAAACAUGAAGAGGAAGAUUGACCAGAUGCAGGAAUUUGAUAGUCAGAUUUUACUUGAUCAUCAGAGGUUUGUGGGUUUGUUCCAACAACAUUUGCCUUCGUCUUCUGGGGCUGUACCGCAUAAUGAAGCUCCAAAUGAUCAACCUCUAAUGCCUCCUCCUUCUGGGGCUCCGCCAACUGCUUAGGCUCCGCCGACUACUGAGACUUCUCCUAAGCAGCCUUUGUGAAGGCUCUCUCUUGUAUUUUUCUGCUUAAUGUUCCUUUUUUUUAAAUGAAUGUAAAAUACCUUGCAUAUCUGUCAAUGUUUCAAAAAUAAACCUACACCAAAAACAAUUAAACAAGUAACAAAUAAACAUGACAAUCAUGGCAAAAUAAAACUGCAGAAAAUGGAAGGUUUUUAGGAACGCAAAACCAAUCGUGGAGUUAUUAAAAAAUCUUCCUUAUUUGAAUACAUGGGUUGCCUCCCAAGAAGUUCUUGCUUUAACGUCUUUCAGCCGGACGAUACCUCUAUUUAAGCUUGAACAGGGCCCACGGCAUGGAGGGGUACAUUCUCCAUGACAUGCUCCUCAAAAGCCUCAUAAUAGGGCUUCAAACGAUGCCCAUUCACCUUGAAUUCUUGUUGUGUCUUCAAACUUUGUAUUUGGACUGCACCAUGAGGAAAAACAUUAGUAAUAACAAAAGGACCAAUCCAUUUGGAAUGCAACUUACCCGGAAACAAACGAAGACGGGAAUUGAAGAGUAGCACUUUCUGCCCUAUAGAGAACGUCUUGCUACGAAUCAUCUUGUCAUGGAAUGCCUUCGUCUUCUCCUUGUAAAUACGUGUAUUCUCAUAAGCUUCAUUCCUAAUUUCCUCAAGCUCAUUCAAUUGAAGCUUUCUAUGAAGACCGGCGACAUCAAUGUCCAUAUUGAAAGUUUUGACGGCCCAAUGUGCACGAUGCUCUAACUCAAUGGGAAGAUGACAUGGUUUCCCAUAGAUAAGCCGAAAUGGUGACAUCCUAAUUGGUGUUUUAUAGGCAGUACGAUACGCCCACAGUGCAUCAGCUAAGCGUAAGCUCCAAUCCUUCCUUAUUGGCCCAACAGUCUUCUCUAGAAUAUGUUUGAUCUCUCGAUUUGAAACCUCAGCUUGGCCAUUUGUUUGAGGAUGGUAAGGUGUAGAAACCUUAUGGUUGACAUUGUACUUCCACAAUAACGCCUCAAUGGUCCGAUUGCAAAAAUGAGACCCUCCAUCACUUAUGAGUACCCGUGGCAUGCCAAACCUUGCAAAUAUGUUAGUUCUAAUAAAAUCUACAACCAUUUUAGAAUCAUUAGUCUGGGUGACUUUUGCUUCCACCCAUUUUGACACAUAAUCAACUGCAAGCAAAAUAUACAUGAAACUAUUCGAGGAAGGAAAGGGACCCAUAAAAUCAAUACCCUAAACAUAAAAAAUUUCAACAUUAAGGAUGGAAACCGGCGGCAUUUGAUCCCUUGCACUUAUAUUUCCUGUUCUUUGGCAUUUAUCACAUGUUAAGCAAAAAGUUCUAGCAUCCUUAAAGAUACUAGGCCAAUAAAACCCACAUUGUAACACCUUAAGUGCUGUUCUUUGUGUGCCAAAGUGACCACCAUAUGCAUAUGAAUGACAAAAGCUUAAAAUGGAAUGAAACUCAGAAUCAUGCACACAUCGAUGGACAAUUUGAUCAGGGCAAUAUUUCCACAAAUAUGGAUCAUCCCAUACAUAAAACCGUGCAUCAUUUAUAAGCUUAUCACGUUGGUGUCUAGUGAGAGUGCUUGGAAUUCGUUUAGACACCAAAAAGUUGACCAAAUCAGCAUACCAGGGUUCACUUACCUUAAUGGACAUCAAUUGUUCAUUAGGAAACGUUUCAGCAAUGGGUAGGGAAUCCUCAUUAUGCAUCAUACGGCUUAGGUGGUCAGCCACCAUGUUUUCACUUCCCUUUUUAUCUCGAAUCUCAAUGUCGAACUCUUGAAGAAGCAAUAUCCAUCGAAUUAAACUUUGGCUUGGCCUCCUUCUUGCUAAGCAAAUAUUUUAAAGCUGUAUGAUCAGUGAAAACAAUUACUUUAGUACCAAUUAAAUAUGAUCGAAAUUUAUCUAAAGCAAAGACAACGGCAAGAAGUUAUUUUUCUGUUGUGGAAUAGUUUAUUGGGCAUCAUUCAACGUCCGUGAAGCAUAGUAAAUGACAUGCGGCCUCUUAUCCUUCCUUUGUCCUAAAACAGCCCCUAAAGCAUAAUCGGAUGCGUCACACAUGAGCUCAAAAUGAAGGCUCCAAUCCGGUGGAACAAUAAUAGGAGCCGUGGUCAGUAACUCCUUGAGUUAUUUGAAGGAUGCCGUGCACUCCUUAUUGAAGUCAAACGCCACAUCUUUUUUAAGGAGAUGGCAAAGAGGUUGGGAAACCUUUGAGAAAUCUUUGAUAAAUCUUCGAUAGAAACCUGCAUGUCCAAGAAAAGAACGAACCUCUCUAACCGAAGUAGGAGAGGGUAAGUGACGUACAAGAUCGAUCUUUGAUUUAUCAACCUCCAUUCCUUUUUCAGAGAUGAUAUGUCCUAAAACUAUGCCUUGUUUAACCAUGAAAUGACAUUUUUCCCAAUUGAGAACAAGGUUAGUUUCAACACAUCGUUUUAAGAUCAAACUGAGAUUAUGCAAACAACCAUCAAAUGAAUCACCAAAAACGCUGAAAUCAUCCAUAAAAACUUCAAUAAUUUUCUCAAUAUAAUCAGAAAAUAUGUUCAUCAUGCAUUUUUGAAAUGUGGCAGGUGCAUUACAUAAACCAAAUGGCAUGCGACGAUAAGCAAAUGUACCAAAGGGGCAUGUGAAAGUGGUUUUUUCUUGGUCCUCGGGUGCUAUGACAAUUUGAUUAUAACCAGAAUAACCAUCAAGAAAACAAUAGAAAGCAUAACCCGCUAACCUCUCAAGCAUUUAAUCAAUGAAUGGCAAAAGGAAGUGGUCCUUCCUAGUGGUGGCGUUGAGCUUCCUGUAAUCGAUACACACCCUCUAACCUAUUUGGAUUCGAGUAGGUACAAGCUCAUUUUCGGCAUUUGUCACCACAGUUACUCCGGAUUUCUUUGGAACACAUUGAACGGGCAAAACCCAACGACUAUCGAAAAUAGGAUAGAUCACUCCACAAUCUAAAAGCUUGAUUAUUUCCUUCUUGACAACUUCCAUCAUCGGAGGGUUGAGUCAGCGUUGAGCCUCUCAAGAUGUUUUAGACCCCUCCUCCAAAAGUAUGCGAUGCAUGCAAGUGGUGGGACUAAUUCCUUUUAUGUCGGCCAAUGUCCACCCAAUUGCUGUACUCCCUUAGCACCCUUACCAACUUGUCCUCCUCUUUUGCCGUGAGUGUACUUGAGAUGAUGACGGGCAAUGUCUCAUCAUCGCCCAAGAAAAAGUACUUUAAAUGGCUUGGCAAUGGCUUAAGUUCAAGUGUAAGUGGCUGCACAACUGAGGGAAGUAACUUAUUAGCCGAAACUGAAAUGGAAAUUGGGUCCAAAAACUUACCAGAUUGUAAUGGCAAUGAUUCGAGGGCAGCCACCAUCUCAAUCAUGUCUUCAUUAGGGGGUACGGCAAGGGAAAAAUCAUUCAUGCUGUGGGGGUGCAUGGUUAAUGCUUCAUUGUUUUGAAUGUCCAUUCCUCGUGCAAUGACCAAUUCAAGUGCAUCGUCAUUCAAUUGUUCAAAAUGGUCCUACGCCAAAGAAGCAAAUACAUCAAUAGAAAAACAUGAGCGAUCCUCACUAGGAUACUUGAUAGAAUCAGAAAGAUUGAAAUUGAUAACUUCCCCAUCAAAUUCCAUCGUCAAAGUUCCAUUAAACACAUCAAUCUUAGUACGGGCAGUUUUCAUGAAUGGUCAUCCAAGGAGGAUGGGCAAUGUAGCGGAAUGGUCCGACUCGUCCAUUUCAAGCACGUAGAAAUCCGCCAGAAAGAUUAAGUGAUUGACCUGCACUAAAACAUCUUCCAAAACUCCUUUUGGAUAGGCAUUAAAUCGAUCGGCCAAUUGUAUAAUCACACCAUCAUUUUUCAAUUCGCCUAAGUGCAUAGAUGCAUAGAUUGAAUAAGGCAUGACAUUUAUAGAUGCACCUAAGUCUAACAUGGCAGAUUCAAAACGAGUAUUACCAAUUACACAAGGAAUGGUAAAACUACCCGGAUCCUUGCAUUUAGUGGGCAGUUUACGUUGUAAAACAACUGAGACAUUUUCACUUACCUUGACAACCUCCUUGCUCGAAAUUCUCUUCCUAGUUGUGCAGAGUUCUUUUAAAAACUUGGCAUACCUUGGAACUGGCUUAAUUGCAUCCAAAAGUGGUAUAUUGACUUGAACUUUUCUAAACGUUUCCAAAAUAUCCUUUUCAGCCUCAUCUUUCUUUGAUUGCAUAAACCUACGAGGAAAGGGUACAUUUGGAGGAACAACGUUAAAAUUGAUCAAAAUUGGAACUUCCUUACCUUUGUUGGCCGAAUUGGAUGGUUUAGGAGCAUUUGGGGCCUGUGGCAAAGGUGUUUCCACCCUUGUUGUGGGGGUGCUUUGCUUCUCUUCUUCAAUUAUCAACUCUUCAACCUUAUUGGAACGUGAUUUGGAAGGUUGGGGAUCAAAUCCAACUUGUUUUUCACUUCGUAAACUCAUGGCUUUGGCAGAUUUGAAUCCUCCAUUCGGGUUGACAACGGUUGAACUAGGCAACUUACCUUGCUCUCUGAAUUAUCCUACAAACUCCGCAAUCUGCCCAAUUUGCUUCUCCAUUUGGUCCACCCUUUUGUCUUGGUUUUGCAUUGCUUUGGCUUGAUUUUCUUGCCCCUGAGACAAAUUGGUGAGUAACUUAAGAAGUGUGUCAUUAUCUAAAGAUGUACCUGAGGUGUUUUGGGCAGGUUGUUGUGGGGCUUGUGUUGGUGCGUAUUGCUUGGUAUAGAAGCCCGGAGGUUGCUGCCUAAAGCCUUCUUGUUGUUGGGGUUGCUGGGGCUCCACUUGAAAUUUGGAUGGUUUCUCCAACCUGGAUUGUACGUAUUAGAAUAUGGAUCGUUCCUUGGCUGGUUUUGACCUUGAAAUCCAAUUGCAUUGGCGCUUUCCCAUCCACCAUUUUCAAUCAAUUGAGGGCACUUUUCAGAGACAUGUCCUUGGAUAGAACACACACCACAUACACUUGGUUCUUUCAUCCUCAUUCCUUCGGCCAUCUAAGACACAAUGGAAGUAAGAUUAGCUAAUUACGAUUGAAUGUCGAAUGUGGAACUUACCUUAUUCACUUGCUGCAGUGGGGUGUCCUUUUGCCCAAUGCCUUCAUAUUGUUAUGCAUUCAAUGUACGAUUUGCGAUUAGUGUCUUGGCAGCCAUAGGUGUUUUGUCCACCAAAGCUCCUUCCACCGAGGCAUCUAGCAUUUGGCGUUCAAUUGGUAGAAGCCCUUCAUAGAAAUAUUGAAGAAGAAGCUCCUCCUUCAUCUGGUGCUGUGGACAUGAAGCAACAAGGGUUUUAAAACGCUCAUAGUAAGUGGGAAAUGAUUCACCUUGGUUUUGCUAAAUGCCACUAAUCCUUUUACGUAGUAGAAUGACUCGAGAAGUUGGGAAAAACUUCUCUAAAAAUGCCCAUUUCAUACUCUCCCAUGAUGUGAUAGUUCUGGGGGCUAGCUCAUACAACCAAUCUUUAGCAUUUUCUAAGAGAGAAAAGGGAAAAGCCUUCAUCUUAAAAAUGCUCCCAUCAACAUUCACAGGAGUCAUACUCGAGCAAACAACCUCAAACUCCUUCAAGUGUUUAUUAGGAUCUUCCAUGGACAUCCCGUGGAACUCAGGAAUGUGAUGCAACAAACUUGAUUUCAAUUCGAACUCAUCCGUCUUCCCUAGGGCAUCCAUGGGGUAUUGGAUAGAUAGGGGAGCGGCAUUGUCCAAUCCCGAAGCGGAAAGCUCCUUGAUUGUUCGAUUGUCCGCUGCCAUGUUGGGAUCUUCCUCUACAACCUGUGCCGUGGGCUCCUCUUCUUCUUCAAGUGGAUGUUCUUCAAAUUCAGGUUCAGGAAUAGGUGGGUUACAAUCUUGCUGAUUCCUAUUCCUUCUCAAAGUCCUCUCAAAAUCGUCGUCAAAGUCCAAGAUAUACUCACGAACCGGAUGAGAAGUCUGAGUCAUAAACUAGUACCUAAGACAAGAAAACAAACAACGUCAGUAACUAACAUAAAAGCACACGAAAAUAAACAAAAAGAAAUAACAAGGGAUUAGCAAAGUUGCUAAUCCCCAGCAACGGCGCCAAAAAUUUGAUGCUAAAAUUAACUUAACACACAAAUUAAACCUUCUUGUAUCAAUUGUAGUAAAGAAUGUAAGUAGGGAUCGUUCUAAACCGGGGAUUAGGAGGGCUUGCUAAUAACCUCUAAACUGACUUUGAUAACAUAUAAACAAAGUUAAAAAUACUAAACUAGACUCAAAGAACUCAAAACCAACUCAAAAGACUCAAAACAAGCUAAAAACGCUCAAAUCUGCCUAAAAACACAAACUGGGCAGAUUUGGACUCUAAACGCACUUUUGGACGAAUUUUGGUUUUAAAUUGGUUCGAAACACUUAAAAACACAAACUAAAUCAGUUUCUAACUAAUAUGACUCAACAAGGUAAAGGGGGUUUUGGUUUUGACGAAUUUGAAAACAAAACAAGUAAAUUAAAGAACUAAUGAAAUAUGCACGAAUUUGAGUAAAUUGAAUGGAUGGAAGGCUAGCUAGGAGGUUCUUCUCCACACAUGGCACAUUUGCAAACAAAACGAUUUCCAGUUGCUUUUCAAUAAACUACUGAUUCUCAACGCCCCAGAUUAACUGUGAAUUGCACUAAUUAACCCUCAGAUUUUCCUAAUUUCAUUGAAUUGAAUGAUUGCAUACAACAACCCAAAGCAUUCCCCACAAGUUCCCUACAUGAAUCGCAUAAUAGAGAUACGAGCAAAGAUCAUUAAGUUCUAUGAAAAUCAUAAGCAUUGACGAGGCACUUGUAACUAUGAAUUGCAUGAAACUUAUGCCAAGAAUUUACUUAACGUGAUUGUGACAAGCAACCUUCACUACUUGUGAAUAUAAGUUCAUAACGAUUAGGUGAAACUCUCUUAUAUCCUAGCAUCAGAUUUAUGCAUGAAAAUUAAACGUGCACUCUCAACCAACACACAUAAAUCAGUUUUAAUUCAAACGGAUAAGUAAACAAAAUUCACAACUUAUGAACCACAACUGGAUGUAAUCAAAUCAUAUUGCAAGUAUGAACAUGGUUUCGAAUUCCCCCUAGCUAAAUAGGGGUUUAGCUACUCAUAAUUGCAACAAAAUCAGAAAAUAACAAAGUAGACAUUGAAAGCAAGAACGAAGUACACCUAAAACGCUCCAAAGUUCAAGCUUGAAACGCAAAGGACCUUUGUUUUCACCACCUUGUUGCAGCACAAGUAUCUAAGGAUGUGUAUGGAUAUAUGGAAAGGUUAUGAAUGUAUUUAGGUUGGAUGGAUGCCACGACAAGGGGAAGGGAAUGUAUGGAAUUGUGUUGGAUUUUUGGUUGGAUGAGUGCCACGGCAAGGGAAUGGAAUUGUAUGUGUUUGUGGGAUGUGGGAAUAUAUGGAUGAAUGUAAGGUCUUUUUAAUGGAUCCUAGUUAUGGUGAAGGGUGGAUGUAUUUAUAGGCUAGGGAGAGGAGUGUAUGGAGUUGUAAUGAGUGGAUGUAAUGGGUGUAGUGGGUAAGUGUUGUGGUAAUGAAUGGAUGUAAUGGGUGUAGUGGGUGAGUGUUGUGGUAAUGAGUGGAUGGUGAGUGUUGUGGUAAUGAGUGGAUGUAAUGGGUGUAGUGGAUGGAUGUUGUGGUAAUGAGUGGAUGUAAUUGGUGUAGUGGGUGAGUGUUGUGGUAAUGAGUGGAUGUAGUGGUAGGUGCAUGUGUUGGGUAAAAUGAGUGGAUGUAGUGGUAGGUGAAUGUAUUGGGUGGUUGUAAUGAGUGGAUGUGUUGGGUGAAAUGAGUGGAUGUAGUGGUAGGUGAAUGGAUGUGUUGGGUGAAAUGAGUGUGCUAAAAUGGUUAUUUAUAGGGAGAGGAUGAUGCACAAACUUCAAAUUUCGUCCAUUCCUUUUGCUCCAAGCAUAUGCUAUCCAUUCCAUGCCAAAAAAUGCUCCAAAAUGCUCCAAAAUGCUAAAAUGCACUUCUUUGCCACAUUAACCCUUUG
rnacentral:lncRNA from 1 species